AUGCAUAUCGUCCAUAUAUCUACAAUAUAUAAAAAAAUCAAGCCCAAAUUUCAAAAUUGGGCAUGAUCUCUUUUUUUGAAAUUUUUAACCUAUUUUUCUAAGCAACAUAAAAAAAUAUUAAAAAAAAGAUAGAGGAAAUAAACCAUACUUUAAUUAGCCUUUGCUAUAAUUUUUUGGAAGAACACUGCUCUCUCACCUCAAUUUUUUUUUCACGCUGCCUUUGGAUCUCUCAAUCCACCACCGUGGUUCUGCUAUCCGCUUCAAUUCAUGACUGGUUCAGGCAGAUCCUUCAGUUUUGAUAACCAAAGCUACGCGUUUAACUAAGAAUUUGAGAUAAGACAGUGCAUCGCAC
rnacentral:lncRNA from 1 species